rnacentral:rRNA from 1 species
AGUGAACGCUGGCGGUAGGCCUAACACAUGCAAGUCGAACGGCAGCACAGUAAGAGCUUGCUCUUACGGGUGGCGAGUGGCGUACGGGUGAGGAAUACAUCGGAAUCUACUUUUUCGUGGGGGAUAACGUAGGGAAACUUACGCUAAUACCGCAUACGACCUACGGGUGAAAGCAGGGGAUCUUCGGACCUUGCGCGAUUGAAUGAGCCGAUGUCGGAUUAGCUAGUUGGCGGGGUAAAGGCCCACCAAGGCGACGAUCCGUAGCUGGUCUGAGAGGAUGAUCGGCCACACUGGAACUGAGACACGGUCCAGACUCCUACGGGAGGCAGCAGUGGGGAAUAUUGGACAAUGGGCGCAAGCCUGAUCCAGCCAUACCGCGUGGGUGAAGAAGGCCUUCGGGUUGUAAAGCCCUUUUGUUGGGAAAGAAAAGCAGCAGGUUAAUACCCCGCUGUUCUGACGGUACCCAAAGAAUAAGCACCGGCUAACUUCGUG